CCUACGGGAGGCAGCAGUGAGGGAUAUUGGUCAAUGGGGGAAACCCUGAACCAGCAACGCCGCGUGAGGGAAGACGGUUUUCGGAUUGUAAACCUCUGUCCUCUGUGAAGAUAAUGACGGUAGCAGAGGAGGAAGCUCCGGCUAACUACGUGCCAGCAGCCGCGGUAAUACGUAGGGAGCAAGCGUUAUCCGGAAUUAUUGGGUGUAAAGGGUGCGUAGACGGGACAGCAAGUUAGUUGUGAAAGCCCUCGGCUUAACUGAGGAACUGCAACUAAAACUAUUGUUCUUGAGUGCAGGAGAGGAAA
rnacentral:rRNA from 1 species